AUACGGAGGGUGCAAGCGUUACUCGGAAUCACUGGGCGUAAAGCGCGCGCAGGCGGCUUGAUAAGUUGGAUGUGAAAGCCUACAGCUCAACCGUAGAACUGCAUCCAAAACUGUCAAGCUAGAGUCUGGGAGGGGAAGAUGGAAUUAGUUGUGUAGGGGUAAAAUCCGUAGAGAUAACUAGGAAUACCAAAAGCGAAGGCGAUCUUCUGGAACAGUACUGACGCUGAGGCGCGAAAGCGUGGGGAGCAAACAGGAUUAGAAACCCGGGUAGUCC
rnacentral:rRNA from 1 species